UACAGAGGGGGCGAGCGUUAUUCGGAAUUAUUGGGCGUAAAGGCGCGUAGGCGGCCUUUCAAGUGACGGGUGAAAUCCCUCGGCUUAACCGAGGAACUGCCUGUCAGACUGGAAGGCUUGAGACCGGGAGAGGUGAGUGGAAUUCCCAGUGUAGCGGUGAAAUGCGUAGAUAUUGGGAGAACACCAGUGGCGAAGGCGGCUCACUGGACCGGUACUGACGCUGAGGCGCGAAAGCGUGGGGAGCAAACAGG
rnacentral:rRNA from 1 species